rnacentral:rRNA from 1 species
AGGGAACGCUGGCGGUAGGCCUAACACAUGCAAGUCGAACGGCAGCACAGUAAGAGCUUGCUCUUACGGGUGGCGAGUGGCGGACUGGUGAGGAAUACAUCGGAAUCUACUUUUUCGUGGGGGAUAACGUAGGGAAACUUACGCUAAUACCGCAUACGACCUACGGGUGAAAGCAGGGGAUCUUCGGACCUUGCGCGAUUGAAUGAGCCGAUGUCGGGUUAGCUAGUUGGCGGGGUAAAGGCCCACCAAGGCGACGAUCCGUAGCUGGUCUGAGAGGAUGAUCAGCCACACUGGAACUGAGACACGGUCCAGACUCCUACGGGAGGCAGCAGUGGGGAAUAUUGGACAAUGGGCGCAAGCCUGAUCCAGCCAUACCGCGUGGGUGAAGAAGGCCUUCGGGUUGUAAAGCCCUUUUGUUGGGAAAGAAAAGAAGCAGGUUAAUACCACGCUGUUCUGACGGUACCCAAAGAAUAAGCACCGGCUAACUUCGUG